GCUUUAGCUCAGUUGGUAGAGUCCUGGAUUGUGAUUCCAGUUGUCGUGGGUUCGAAUCCCUCAAG
rnacentral:tRNA from 1 species